rnacentral:rRNA from 1 species
UAACGGCGAGUGAAGCGGCAACAGCUCAAAUUUGAAAUCUGGCCCCAGGCCCGAGUUGUAAUUUGCAGAGGAUGCUUUUGGCGCGGUGCCUUCCGAGUUCCCUGGAACGGGACGCCAUAGAGGGUGAGAGCCCCGUCUGGUUGGAUACCAAGCCUUUGUACAGCUCCUUCGACGAGUCGAGUAGUUUGGGAAUGCUGCUCUAAAUGGGAGGUAUAUGUCUUCUAAAGCUAAAUACCGGCCAGAGACCGAUAGCGCACAAGUAGAGUGAUCGAAAGAUGAAAAGCACUUUGGAAAGAGAGUUAAACAGCACGUGAAAUUGUUAAAAGGGAAGCGUUUAUGACCAGACUUGGGCCGGUUAAUCAUCCAGCGUUCUCGCUGGUGCACUUUGCCGGUCCAGGCCAGCAUCAGUUCGCUGCGGGGGAUAAAGGCGUCGGGAAUGUGGCUCCUCCGGAGUGUUAUAGCCCUUCGCGCAAUACCCUGCGGUGGACUGAGGUUCGCGCAUCUGCAAGGAUGCUGGCGUAAUGGUCAUCAACGACCCGUCUUGAAACACGGACCAAGGAGUCGUCUUCGUAUGCGAGUGUUCGGGUGUAAAACCCCUACGCGUAAUGAAAGUGAACGCAGGUGAGAGCUUCGGCGCAUCAUCGACCGAUCCUGAUGUUCUCGGAUGGAUUUGAGUAAGAGCAUACGGGGCCGGACCCGAAAGAAGGUGAACUAUGCCUGUAUAGGGUGAAGCCAGAGGAAACUCUGGUGGAGGCUCGCAGCGGUUCUGACGUGCAAAUCGAUCGUCAAAUAUG